CUUUUUCUGUACGCCUAGACCUUCAGAGGUGGUUCACUCAGUGGCUCAAGCUUCCUGUUUUUGCUGGCCUCCUCACUCAAGUCUACCUUGAGUCCUUCCCUCUGAAGGGAAGAUUAAUGCUACUAAUUUCACUUAUGUGAAAACUGUGAGCUGAUAAAGGACCUGGAUGCUUUUUAAAGCAAAUAUUAAUAGCAGAAAGAGGAAUAUUCCUAUGCUGUGGUGGAAAUAAUUGUCAGGGACAGAGAGCUCCAGGGCUCCCAUACUGGUCUCAGUGCUGACUCUGGACUUUACAGCUGCAAGGGUUUCCAUCAGCUGCCCUUGUUUCUGGGUUUUUGAAAUGCUACCAAAAUGAAGCUUCUCUUUUCUGACAAAGAGCUUGGGAUGGCACUGCAUAUCUCUCUGGUAUGCUAAUCACUUUUGGAUUUCAACACACAGUGAUAAGAAUUUGCCCAGCAGGAUAAAAGUAGUCCAUGGAUUGUUUCAUUCCAUCAGCCCUGUCAUGCAUGCUGUGACAUAAAUGUUACCAGAGCACUUUUGUGGGGAUUUUCUUUGCUAGAACAUUUGGUCCAGAACAAAGUACUUCCAACCACAUUAUCACUGACAUUUGUGGAAGAAUUCUCAGAACUGCAGUUUGUCAUGUUUUGAUAUCAAAACGUAUUAUGGGAUUUCCAUUCAGUUACUGAUAUUUUGGUACAACAAAAUAAGCUAAUCUGGUUAGGAGUCAUUGUGUUACUGCCAAAUUUACUAAAGCUUAAAUAUCCACUGAAAGGAGAAUGAAAAGAUUUUAAUGAAGUAUAUAGAGAGGAAAAUAUCUAUCACCCAACUUCAUUUUGCCUGGAUUUUAAAAUUUGUCUGUAGUUUGUGUUUAUGCAGGAAGAAGUUAUUCUGAAUUUCUACUCCCUUACCCACAGAGACCUAAUGUAAUCAACGGCACUCUGAAAACCAAACACAUCAUCCUCAAAGAAAAGAGUCAUAUCUGUAGGCUUGCUAACAUGCUUUCACCUCUUGUUCCUUCUUUGUUGGUCUGCAGGUCAAUGUUGCAUCAAAAAGUUGCUAGAUAUGCAUUUUAUAUGCAUUAUUUCUUUGUUCUUUUUGUUAUCAAUAAGCUCAGUUUUGGCCAUAUCCAGGUCUGUAUUUCUUAAAGGACUGCUGUGGGGCCUCCAGUGCUAUUCUG